UCUGAGGGGNANNANGGGGAGUGCAGACUGUCGCUGGCCUGAUCAGGGCAUGUGCACGUCUAGCUUUUCGUCGACCUUUCUCUCAUACACACACCUGUGCACCCAUUGUAGGUCCUCGAAAGAGGAUCUAUGUUUUUCRCAUCACACCCGUCGUAUGUCUAUAGAAUGUAUUGAGAACGUCGACCUGUUUGACAGGCAGGCGGUCCAUAAAAAUCAUACAACUUUCAGCAACGGAUCUCUUGGCUCUCGCAUCGAUGAAGAACGCAGCGAAUUGCGAUAAGUAAUGUGAAUUGCAGAUUUUCAGUGAAUCAUCGAAUCUUUGAACGCACCUUGCGCUCCUUGGUAUUCCGAGGAGCAUGCCUGUUUGAGUGUCAUCGAAUUCUCAACCAUGUCUUGAUUGAUUUCGAGGCAUGGCUUGGAGUUGGGGGUUGCUGGCGGCGAAACGCCGUCGGCUCUCCUGAAAUGCAUUAGCAAAAGGGCGGCGAGUCUCUUGACGUGCACGGCCUUCGACGUGAUAAUGAUCGUCGUGGCUGGAGCGUUUGGGGAACAUGCAUGAAUCGUCCACUGCUUCCAAUCCCUAAUCCCCUCUAGCCUUUGAGUCACUUAGCUACUAGCUGGUCGUGAGGCCGGCGAACGUUGGGCGGCCAAGGCUUANGCUUGGGUGUUUCGAAACUUGACCUCAAAUCAGGUAGGACUACCCGCUGAACUUAAGCAUAUC
rnacentral:rRNA from 1 species